rnacentral:lncRNA from 1 species
AUGUCCUCACCUCUGUUUACAUUUCAGGAGGCAGGGCGUGAGAAACAAGGAGAGCUGGAGUGCGUCAGAUCUCAGAUCCAGGAGCUAAAAAGCCAGCAGACACAACACAGCAGAGAUCUGCAGAGCCGAGGCUUCAAAUCGAGCAUGAUGCUGGUCCUUGAUCACCCGGGAAAGGACAGUGACUCUGGGUCUCUGUUGAUCCGGCCUCAACCAGAAACUUUGCCUUCAGAGACCAAUUUGGUUCUCUCUCAUCGGCAAAGAUCAGACUCCACAGCGUCAGAAAACAGCGUGAGCUCUGCUCACUCCAGGUCCAAUCUGGAUUCUGUGGCCUCAGAGAGAAGCCAGGUCUCAAGCGUACUUGCUCGGCGGGAUUCUGGAGCUUCAGACAAAAGCAGUAGUUCAUCCCAGUGUGAACACCUCGACUCUAGCACAUCUGAAAAAAGCAUCAGCUCCGUCAUUCACUCCAGACAGAGACUCGGAUCAGAUGUAUCCGAUUCGUGUGUCAGACCACAACUUGGAUCAAGAUCCUCAGAUAUCUUGAGUAUGUUGGCAAGGACACGGACCAAUUCUAGCAUGAGCAUGUCUUCCGAGGAGAGGGGUCCAGCUGAGGAGGUAACCUCAAGUUCAACAUACAGCACUGAUUCCGAAACGGAGAAAAGCCGAAGUCCCGCCAGCAUCCAGACUCAGUCCAACCAUGAUCAUGUUGGUGACAAUGAGCAGCCUGAUGGCGCUGGUUUAUCUCGCCAAAACCCUUUAAAUGGCCUACCCAGUAGCACCAGCAAUAAGGAGACAGCAGAUGACCAGAAGCCAAAGGUAUUAUGUACUGCAGUUGUAUCAGAUUCACAUAAAAUAUCUUUAUUGGUUGCAAUUUCCAGGACAGUUGCAAAAAAACCAAAAGAAAUGUUAACUGAAAUUGUUAACUGAAAAGUAUAUUUUCUCCUCAGUGUUUCGUUACUAAGUUGAUUUUUAAUAAUAAACUCAGGGAAUACUUUUACAGUCUGGUCGUCCUUGCACCACUAGAGAGGGAUGCUGAGCUGUGAAGCCUCAGUCGAGCUCACAGACUGUUUUAGCUCUGUUACAUUUUCCCUAACAAGAAACCCCUGCACUUCAUUUUUUUCUGACACCCAGAUGCCAUCGGCAUCCAUAAAUACAAACACUGCGGUCCUGCUAGAUGUUGUUUAACUUGAGUUACUUGGUUACACAAACAAACUGCACCUGACUGCUUCUGUUUGACCUCAGCAGUGCGUCAGCCUCACCUGAUGUUAAAGAGACAACGUCGCACGCCAAAGAUUCUGUCUCUCGUCAUCUCACAGCUCGGAGAAUAUACAAACAAAUGUCUCCUGUUUCUGCGCCGCCCGCUAGUUGUUGAAGAAUAUUUCCUGCCUUGAAGGCUCAUGUUAGCUUCAUGCCAUUGUGUGACUCCACUAAAUGUGUUUGCUUUAAAACUACUCCCUGACGUCUUCAUUGUUCUCUGCUGCAUAUGCUGAUACAGAUUCUCCUGGUAAUAAUGCAAACGCUUUGAGAUCCAUUGUAGUCGCAUUGCCAAGAAAAGAUGAAAGGUUCACAUUCUCACCCCAAACACAAAUGUUGCAUGACGAAAAGUCGAUGCUGUUUUUAGAUCUGUGGAGGUCUGUGUGUGUGUGUGUGGUUGCCACUGCAGCCUGAGGCGUGAAGACUCCAGCUCCAGAUGAAUGUGCAAAUCUGAACAGCACACCAGCUGUGUGGCUGUCAAUCCAGGCAAUGAAAAUGUUGACCUCUGACUUCCUUCACUUCCUGUACUAGGUGUUUUGUCAUGUUCUUUUGUGUUUCUUCUCUUUAGAAAACUCUGAACAGCAGUCUGUCAUUCAGGCAUGUCAAUGAGAGAAAAUAUGGUAAGAAACCACCCCAUAAAUAUAUCAAAAAUAAAAUCCUCUAAGAAUAGUUAGGUUUUUUUUUAUC